GCUCAGAUUGAACGCUGGCGGCAGGCCUAACACAUGCAAGUCGAACGGUAACAGGAAGCAGCUUGCUGCUUUGCUGACGAGUGGCGGACGGGUGAGUAAUGUCUGGGAAACUGCCUGAUGGAGGGGGAUAACUACUGGAAACGGUAGCUAAUACCGCAUAACGUCGCAAGACCAAAGAGGGGGACCUUCGGGCCUCUUGCCAUCGGAUGUGCCCAGAUGGGAUUAGCUAGUAGGUGGGGUAACGGCUCACCUAGGCGACGAUCCCUAGCUGGUCUGAGAGGAUGACCAGCCACACUGGAACUGAGACACGGUCCAGACUCCUACGGGAGGCAGUAGUA
rnacentral:rRNA from 1 species